AAAAUGAUAAGUUCAAGAGAGAUGUAAACUCAAAGUUGGAUAUGUUGGUUGUUGACAUGAAGCUUAUAAAAUACUUUGUAUUUGCUUGUAUUGUGAUUCAACUUUUGUAUAUGGUUGUUCACAAGUAGGGUUGUUGAUUAGUGAUUGAAAUUAGUGAGUGUAAUAUUGUUGAUUAGUGAGUGUAAUGUUAUUGAUUAGUGAAUGUGAUGUAUUUUAGCUUUAACCAAAACAUAUUUGUGCUCCACAUAUGACUCCAAUAGAGAGUGCUAAUGGUGUUGCUAAACUAGUUAAGAGAUCUUGUGCUCUU
rnacentral:lncRNA from 1 species